GGUAACUUAACUUUUAUUUAUAAUGGGCAACAGGCAUUACACAUUUAAUUAAAGUUAAAAAGGCAAGACCCUAGCUAGCUAACAUAAAAAGAGUUAACCCUGCAUGCCUUGGCCUAGCUAAGUGCUAAAAUAAGUUCAUAAAUCCUAAGGAGUCUAGACUCUAUAGAUGACUUGAUGCUUAGCUCUCCACACUUUCUGCUACUCAAAACAGGGGGAAGAAAAAGAAAAAAGAAAGAUGAAAGAAGUAGAAAGACACCCUUAAUUAUUCGACCUUAGCAUUGGCAACAUUGCAGUAGAGUUUCCUGGUAAUUAAUUAAGAAAUCACUAGUCGUUCCAGACCCAUAUGGCUCCAGCCCUCUUCAGCAAUGGACCUAACUGGUUCUUGACCAGUAAGCUCAUGACCUGCCUAUCUCCACCCACACACUCGCCGCCUAUGAACACAGCUGGUACGUUCUGACACCCUAGCUGCUGCAAUGCUCUUUCAAUUUGCUGGCCGUUUGGAAUUUGAUCGAGCUCAUAAACUGUAGGAUUUGCCCCAAAACCACGUAUCAGUGUCUUAAUGGAGUGACACAUGUCACAGGUGCUCUUGCUGAAUAUCACCAGUGGCCUCUCAGCAACCAGUCUUGUCACUGCAUCCAUGGCUAGCUUAGCUAGAUAUACGAUUGAAUAGUAGUAGGAGUUGGAAAUCUGUGAAGUUUCUUAAGAGAACUAGAAGGCUC
rnacentral:misc_RNA from 1 species